ACAGCAGUCGCCACGGUAAUACAGAGGAUGCAAGCGUUAUCCGGAAUGAUUGGGCGUAAAGCGUCUGUAGGUGGCUUUUCAAGUCCGCCGUCAAAUCCCAGGGCUCAACCCUGGACAGGCGGUGGAAACUACCAGGCUGGAGUACGGUAUGGGCAGAGGGAAUUUCCGGUGGAGCGGUGAAAUGCGUUGAGAUCGGAAAGAACACAACGGCGAAAGCACUCUGCUGGGCCGACACUGACACUGAGAGACGAAAGCUAGGGGAGCAAAUGGGAUUAGAUACCCCCGUAGUCCCUGUCUCUUAUACA
rnacentral:rRNA from 1 species